CUGGAUUCCCCAAUUGUCCAUUGCUUCUUUUUUAUCGGCCUCUGUUCUUAUUCCCUUUUUCUUCUUCAAUUUUGUAUUGCAUAUUUGUUCUCUCUCUUCGUUUGGGCUCGCCUUCUUCCGAUCAUUUGCUGUUCAACUUUUUCCGGCAAGCAUAUGUUUUAUUCCCAUGUUCCUAUUGGAUUUACCACUGAGGCAUUUGCAUUUACUUCUUGGUAAGAAAAUGCAAUUUCAAAGACGAGAUGAAGCUCAAAGGAGCAGAAGAGGCUUCAUAUAGGAAAAUAAAAUGCCAGAGAAAUUGGUAUGUCUUUGUAUUGCAGGUGGACUACUCAAAUGCCAUCAGUCACACGUAGGAUCAUGAUUUUAUGUAUCCUUCAGUAUUCACAAGAAGGUAAGCAAAAAUAUUGAUGCUUUAACUGAUGUAUCUCUGUAUUAUGAGGAGAUCGAUACAUCUCUGCACCUAUUUAUAUUCUAAAUUCGGUAAGAGUUAUAGAAUCUAACCUCAAUUUCUGUUUCAGGUUAAUUAAACAAGUACCACAGUCGGGAUGCUUUAAGGAAUAAACAAGGAAAUAGACGAGGUCAUUCUAUAAGGUAAUAUAUUAUAUAGUUAAGGUAAUAUAUUAUAUAGUUUUUCAGAUUUUUGAAAUACAACUCACAAACAAGGAUGUUCUCAAGAUAAAUAAAGAAGAAUACAAACACAAGCUGAAUACUAUUCAUUUUAAUUGGCAUAGUGUUUCCUUUUGAACUAAAUUACAUAUCGACAGUUUUAGAUCAUAUAAUUUGAAAGAAAUAACAGUUAAACCACAUAUCAGCACACAUAGUAAAUAGAAACCUACGGUAGAAAUCAAAUUUAAUAUGCAAAGCCAGUUUGUCUACCAUGAGUAUGACCCAUACUUGUGGAAACUAAAAUUCCUCCUAAAUUGCUUACUGUAUUUUUGGACCCAAAGAACUAACUUAAAACCUUUUACGGCAAAUACUUUUAUUAAGGACAACAAGUAUUUUGAUACCAGUUGUUAUGAGACAAUCAAGAAUUCGAGCAAUAAUAACGAAAAAAGAACAAGAAAAAAUAUAGUUUUAACAUGGAAAUCCUUAAGGAAGAAAACUACAAGGCAGUGUGUUCUUUUGAUUGGUUGUCGGUCUUCUAUGUUGCUUUGGUUGCUGAUCAACCCGGUGUGCUGGGAUAAUUGGUAAGCUCUCUUCGGUAAGCUCGCUUCUCUCAUUUAAUUUCUUGACUAUUGAUUUCUUCAAUCAGUAGGUGUCUGCAUGUACGUUUUGUUUCUGUUUUUUCCUCUUUAUUCACUUUACCCUUCUCCACAAUAGUCCCACUUCUUUUUGUUUUUUCUCAAGUGUUGAGGCAGGGAAAGGGGGUGGGUGAGUAUUUUUCUUAUGAUAUAUUGAACGGAAAAGGUCCAAAAAUACCCUUCACCUGUUGAAAAAGGCUCAUAAAUACCCUCCUUCCACCUUUUGGUCUAAAAAUACCCUUCCAUCCACCUUUUAGGUCUAAAAAUACCCUUAAGGUUUGUUUUUGGCUCAAAUAUACCCUUUAAACUAACAGAAUAUGUUUUUUUGAUUUUUUUAUCGGAAAAGGUCCAAAAAUACCCUUAACCUAUUGAAAAAGGCUCAUAAAUACCCUCCUUCCACCUUUUGGUCUAAAA